rnacentral:rRNA from 1 species
CCCUGGUUGAUCCUGCCAGUAGUUAUAUGCUUGUCUCAAAGACUAAGCCAUGCAUGUCUCAGUGCAAGCCGUAUUAAGGCGAUACCGCGAAUGGCUCAAUAUAUCAGUUUUGGUUCCUUAGAUCUUACUCAGUUACUUGGAUAACUGUGGCAAUUCUAGAGCUAAUACAUGCAAUCAGAACUCUGACCAGUGAUGGAAUGAGUGCUUUUAUUAGAUCAAAACCAAUCGACGGCGGGCGUUCGCGUCCAAAGUCGUUCAUUUUGAUGAAUCUGGAUAACUUUUGCCGAUCGCACGGUCCCGUACCGGCGACGCAUCUUUCAAAUGUCUGCCUUAUCAACUUUCGAUGGUAGUUUCUGCGACUACCAUGGUUGUCACGGGUAACGGGGAAUCAGGGUUCGAUUCCGGAGAGGGAGCCUGAGAAACGGCUACCACAUCCAAGGAAGGCAGCAGGCGCGCAAAUUACCCACUCCCGGCACGGGGAGGUAGUGACGAAAAAUAACGAUACGGGACUCUUACGAGGCCUCGUAAUCGGAAUGAGUACACUUUAAAUAUUUUAACGAGGAACAAUUGGAGGGCAAGUCUGGUGCCAGCAGCCGCGGUAAUUCCAGCUCCAAUAGCGUAUACUAAAAUUGUUGCGGUUAAAAAGCUCGUAGUUGCAUUUGUGCGCCGCGCUGUCGGUGCACCGCUUCUGCGGUGAUACUGACACGUUUGCGGAGCAUAUCGUCGGUGAGCCUUCGGUAAAACGGAGGUUCAAUAUCAAAAAUCCUAUCGCGGUGCUCUUUAUUGAGUGUCGAGGUGGGCCGACAAUUUUACUUUGAACAAAUUAGAGUGCUUAAAGCGGGCUCAAAAUGCUGCUUGAAUAUUUCGUGCAUGGAAUAAUAGAAUAUGAUCUCGGUUCUAUUUUGUUGGUUUUCAGAACUCCGAGGUAAUGAUUAAUAGGGAUAACUGGGGGCAUUCGUAUUGCGACGUUAGAGGUGAAAUUCUUGGAUCGUCGCAAGACGAACAUCAGCGAAAGCAUUUGCCAAAGGUGUUUUCAUCAAUCAAGAACGAAAGUUAGAGGUUCGAAGGCGAUUAGAUACCGCCCUAGUUCUAACCGUAAAUAUGUCAUCUAGCGAUCCGCCGACGUUACUACAAUGGCUCGGCGGGCAGCUUCCGGGAAACCAAAGAUUUUGGACUCCGGGGGGAGUAUGGUUGCAAAGCUGAAACUUAAAGGAAUUGACGGAAGGGCACCACCAGGAGUGGAGCCUGCGGCUUAAUUUGACUCAACACGGGAAAUCUCACCAGGCCCGGACACCGGAAGGAUUGACAGAUUAAUAGCUCUUUCUUGAUUCGGUGGGUGGUGGUGCAUGGCCGUUCUUAGUUGGUGGAGCGAUUUGUCUGGUUAAUUCCGGUAACGAACGAGACUCUAGCCUGCUAAAUAGGCGUCGUCAUUUAGGUGUGCGUGGUUUCGGCCGCGCAACUCACUGGCGACGUAUUAAAAUUCUUCUUAGAGGGACC